AAAUCCUACACUUGUUUUCUCGAUAAACGAAAUCUUGUCCUCUUUUCUUCAUCUGCUUCACCUAAUUUUGUUGCUUCACUGAGUUAUAUUUAUGGUGUUUUUGAUCUGAGACACUGUUAUCAAAAGGGGGAAAAACAAGUUUUAGGAAGAUGGCGGAAAAGCCUGAAGUUCUGGAUGCUGUCUUGAAGGAGACUGUUGAUUUGGAAAACAUACCGAUUGAGGAGGUUUUUGAGAAUCUGAGAUGUACCAGAGAGGGACUUACUGCUACUGCUGCUCAAGAAAGGUUGUCCAUUUUUGGGUACAAUAAGCUCGAGGAGAAAAAG
rnacentral:misc_RNA from 1 species